GCGCCCCUCUCCGCCCCGCCUCCCUCCUAGGUGAAGGAAGAUGAUUUCCCCCCCAUCUUGACCACCCCCCAGUCUUCGCCGCCAAAAACGGACUCCGCCGGCUAUCCUCGGCCCGGUACCAGUUGUUGGAUCCAAGAGAAUUCCGGAACCCAAACGGCUCGCUCAAAGCACUUUAUUGGCAGUGAAACCGCAAGUAACCCGGAGCCCUCGGCGCGACCACGGCUAGAAUCAGAGCCUAAGGCGUGUGAGCUCAGCCAUCCCACGUCUGUCUUCACGCUCAUACGCAAGCCCGACACACCGGGGCUCCCACUUAAUGAAUACUGAAGAGUAGGGCUGUCCCUACCGCUUCUCACUUCCUUGUUUUCAUCUUUUCGUUAUUAUUAAGCGACCUAACACAAUAAACAUAUUACCUUGUUG
rnacentral:lncRNA from 1 species